rnacentral:misc_RNA from 1 species
UCCCUGGUUGAUCCUGCCA